AAUCUCUCCGUUCCUUCACAUGUCGGCCACUCUCUAAAUUUGCGAUCCACCGAAUGCCACGUCGCUUCGUUUUUGCUAAACACCAAAAGUGCCACGGCUCCCAUCUCAAAGAAACAAAACAAACUGUGCUGCGCUGCGAGUUCGCACUAAAAUGGACGGUUCUACUAAACCAUAAAAAAAAUUAUUUCCGUGGCAUUUUUUAAACAAGAUGCGCUGAUUUAAAGAAUAUCAAACAUCAGGUCUCACUCCAGUCGUCGACAACAUGCAGCUCACUACAAUUAUUUCUUCUCAUUUCACGGCCUGGGUUGGCAACUCGGACCCCAAACUUAUAAUGAUCAAUAUACUCGGGCCAGCGGGGGCAUUGGAAGCUCUCACCUUAGCACGGAUUGCAGAUGAGGUGCGGGGUUGGCUAUCCACCUAUACGAAACGCAGGACUCACGCGGGAGGACACACCCGAGGGCUAUAUCGUCGAAGAUAUAAGCUUCAUGCUUAAAUAUUGGCCGGUGCUCGCUCGCAAAAACACUCCCAUUUUGACUCAUUGACCAGAUGGGAUGCAAAGUUGUAGCUAUCAUACUGUUCCAGGAUCCGAAGGUACUCAACACAUUCGGGGGAUAAAAACCAUGCAACCACUCAAUCGUUAAAACUUCAGCUUGAUCUCAUCACUACCUCCAACGUUUAACUAUCCUCUAAGCCGUAGAUAUAUUGUGCGACCCGUUGCGCAACCAUUUCAACCUCAAAUUGUCUUCUGAUGAUGUUGGUCAACUCGUAUUUUGUUUCAUUUGUAAAUUUUGGCUCAUCAAAAAUGGUUCUUAGCUAAAGGACCAUAAACAUAGACGAACUUUUAAAGUAUCUGUAGUGCAGUCUGCCGGCCAACUAGAUGAAAUUUUCAUGGGAUUCCCUGCUCUAAACGUUGCCAGUGGUAUA